CCUUUGGUAACACGCCCUCGGUAUUCCCACCACCCAUAUAUUUCCUCGCAAUCCCCAAUUCCAUUCCAUCGAUCGACCGGAAACCCUAAUCAAGGUCCGCUCGGUCUCGAUUUGGAUCUCGUUCUCGGUUUCGGUCUCGGUCUCGGUCUCGAUUUGGAGUCGUUUGCUCCCUCGUUCCGUUGAUUUGUCCUUGCUCAAUCCCGAAGUCAGAUCUUGCUUUAGGGUUUCCGGAGCGGCAGCUGAUCCAUGGCGGAUCGGAGCGCGGCGGCUGCGAAGCCCAUAUGGAUGAAGCAGGCAGAGGAGGCUAAGAUUAAGAGUGAGGCGGAGAAGGCGGCAGCGGCAAAGGCCGCUUUCGAGGCCACUUUCAAGGCUAUGGAGAAGGCCAAGGCGAAGGAGGAGGAGGAGGAAUCUUCCGACAGCGACGGGGACGAGCCGGAAGACCUUGCGUCGAAGCCCAUCGGCCCCGUGGACCCAUCCAAGUGCAUCGCCGCUGGCGCUGGGAUCGCCGGAGGCACCGCUUGCGCGCCGUGCACCUUCACUGUCGUAACCAAGGAUUCUGACAGCCGGAAGAUUCCCACCGGUGGAGCCCAGAUCAAGGUGAAGAUCUCGCCUGGUGUUGGAGUCGGGGGCUCCGAUCAAGAGGGUAUGGUUAAGGAUCAGGGGGACGGGGCGUACGCCGUGACCUAUGCAGUGCCCAAGCGCGGGAACUACAUGGUGCAUGUUGAUUGCAACGGGAAGCCAAUCAUGGGGAGCCCGUUCCCAGUGUUUUUUAGCGCCGGCACAGCCAUAGGGGCAACGAGCUUGCCUGCGGUGUCCUCUUACCCCAAUAUGGUGAAUCAGACAAUGCCCAACAUGCCAAACUAUGCAGGCUCAGUAUCUGGGGCAUUCCCGGGGCUGUUAGGCAUGACGCCCGGUGUUGCAUCAGGAUCCGCCGGAGGAGUGGUUUUGCAGGGGAUUGGGGCAUCACUGGGAGAGAUCUGUCGGGAGUACUUGAAUGGACGAUGUUCGAAGACUGACUGCAAGCUCAAUCACCCACCACAUAAUCUGCUGAUGAGUGCACUAGCAGCAACGUCAACAAUGGGGACCUUGAGUCAGGCCCCUAUGGCCCCUUCAGCAGCUGCAAUGGCUGCUGCUCAAGCAAUUGUUGCUGCACGGGCUCUUCAAGCUCAUGCUGCUCAGAUGCAGGCCCAGUCUGCUGGGGGCUCACCAGGCUCAUCUGAUGAGGCUUCCAAAUCUGAUGCUUUGAAGAAAACAAUACAAGUCAGUAAUCUUAGUCCACUUCUUACAGUGGAUCAUCUCAAACAGCUUUUUGGUUACUGUGGAACUGUUGUUGAUUGCACCAUCACGGAAUCGAAGCACUUUGCUUAUAUCGAAUAUACUAAGGCAGAAGAAGCAACUGCAGCUUUGGCACUGAACAACAUGGAUGUAGGGGGGCGUCCGUUGAAUGUUGAGAUGGCAAAGUCCCUUCCUUCUAAAUCAGCCGUGGGAAAUUCCUCAUUACCGUUAGUUAUGCAGCAAGCGGUUGCUAUGCAACAGAUGCAAUUUCAACAAGCCUUAAUGAUGCAACAAGCAAUGGCCUCGCAACAGGCUGCUGCUCGAGCAGCGACAAUGAAAUCUGCAACAGAGAUGGCAUCAGCAAGGGCAGCUGAAAUAAGUAAAAUGUUAAAAGCAGAAGGUCUAGUUAGUGAUGACAAGGAAGUUAAAAGAAAGUCCAGGUCCCCAUCUAUCCCUCGCCGUGAUUCCAAGUCUCGAUCAAGGUCACCCAUUAAGUAUCGAAGAAGCAGGUAUUCUCGGUCUCUGUCACCUGCAGUGAGACAUUCCCGAGACCAAAGAUCAAGAUCACCAAUAAGAUCACGCCAUUCACGUCAUGAUGACAGGUCGUACAGAGUUGAUCGUGAUCUCUAUAGCAGAAGACGAGAAAGGGAUAGAUCACGUGAUCAUUACUCUGUCUCAAGGAGAAACAGAAGUAGGAGUUCAAGUCCUCAAAGAAAAUCAUCUCGAGCUGGAUCGAGAUCACCCAAGCAUCACAGAGAAAGUGCAAGCUCCAGAACAAAGAGGUCAUCUCGAGCCGAUUCAAGAUCGCCAAGGCAUCAUAAAUCAAGUAGAUUAUCUCCAGUAAAUAGUCAUCGGUCUUCCUCUCAUCGUGGUAGGCAUUCUAGAUCUAGAUCUAGAUCCAUUGAGCGAAAGCAUCAUUCAAAUGAAAAAGAAGACUCCAGAAAAACCGAAAAGUCAAAGCAAGAUUAUAAAAGAUUGGAGAGAAGUAACGAGUCCUCUAAAGAUCCAAAAAGGUCAAGGGACAUUAAGGAAGAUAAGUCUGCGGCACAUUCAACUGGCGGUCCUAAACGAAGGUCCUUGUCACCCAAGGAUGAGAGAAGUGCUAAUAAGCACAAAAGGUCUAAGCUGGAUGAUUCAAGUUCUGAAAAAGCUGACACUGUGAACAAGGAUCAAAAUAUAGAUGGGGAGUGCUCCGAGUCAAUAGGAGAUAAGAAGUCUGUGCAGUCUUCAACUUUAAAACAGCACAGAAACUUGGAAGAUGGUGAUGAUGUUAAGCAUGCUGAAAAACGAUAUUCAAGCAGGCAUGAGAGUUCAAGAUCAAGUCACAGGAAGCACGAAAAAAGUGACUCGGCCACUACGGAGAGAGAACGUCCAACUGUUGAGUCCACACACUUGAGGGAUGAUAAAAGGUCUUCACAUCAUUCAAGUUCAAGAUCUCACAGAACUUCUCGUCGUUUGGAAGAGGGGUCCCUCAAGGCUGCUAUUGACCAGAACAAAGUGGAGAAGCUAAAAGAGGACAACAUAAAAACUAGUGGACUCGAAGCUGUCAUCACCAAGGAAUCUCAAAUUUCAGAUGACAGCCAUGGAAAAUCUGACAACUGUUCAAAGUUGGAGCCUCACAUGUCAAGUCCCUGUUUGACUGGGGAUGAAUCUAUGAGAAAUUCUAAGGCUUCUACUGGAGACACAAAUCACAUAGAAGGUACUUUCACUGGAUUGACAAAAGAUUGUAAUGUUGAAAACGUGACUUGUAAAGUAAGUUUAAUGGUGGGUACUGAUGAUCAUACUGAAAACAAAGAGGCAGAGUUCCAGACUACUGAACUUGAGAAUCACAGUUCCAUCAAAAUUAAGGAGAAUGUUGGGCAAGACCCAGCAGAUUUAGAUGAUGAUUGCUGGCAAAAAACUGCUGAUUUGGCUGCCAAGUAUCCUCCAUAUGUUGAUCAGGGAUCGGUAUACACUAAAAGUGGUAUGUCACCUUCUGGAACAGAUAUUACUGCCAGGAAAAGUAAAUACACUGAGUUGAAGGGACCUCAAAGUACCAUUCCUGAUAAAAUAGGAGUUGAAGGAGCACCAAAUGUUGAUUCCACAAAUAUUACAAGCAUUACUAAAGAAUGGUACAUUGAUCGUGACUACAAACCAGAUGAACUGGGUACAAGUCAUAUGAAUCAGCAGUCAUCAAACUUAGUUGCUCAUGUGGGCUCCCUUUUUGAGGGGCAGAUCAAUGGUUUAAGCAAUAAUGAGAAAAUAAAAGAGAAAAGUGAAACUGAGGAAUACGGCUGUGUACAGACAAUUCAGUCAGUACCCCUUGAUCAUGGGAACCCCAGUGAUUCCAAAGAAAUUAGAAACGUGGAAUCCUCUUCUGCCUUAAUGGUCAGAGACCAUGGAUAUUUUUCACAAGAUUUAUCUAACAUGAAUGAUAUUUCUUUCACUAAUGAGAACUUGACUGAUCAAAAUCCAGAGGUAAAUUUUGGAGGUCACAGGAUGAAGUAUGAAGGCAGAUGUGGUGAACCACAGAGUGCUGGAGUAGUGGAGAUCUCCUCUCUUAACAAUCACAUGUCCGCUGAUAAGGUUGCAGAGUCAAAUGAAGAUUGGACGACCGCACAUUCUUCUGUCCUGGAUGCCCCAGCUAGCUCAUCAUCACCAUAGAAGACUUACCACUGGACCUUAACAGAAUACAGAUGCAGCUAUUAGUCUAUUACUUGGCUUUUCUUUUUCUGAUCCAGGAGUUUUACUUGCAGGAGAUGGCGAUAAUGUCGUUGGAAGAGGUCUCUUUGCCAUGGAAGUACUCCCUAUGAUAAUUCAAGAUUUGUUCUGUGGAACUAUAAUGAUGAAGCCUUCAAAGGAAUGAACUCUAUAGUCUUAUUAUGAGUUUGUGCUGAUAAGAUGAUAUCAUCUGCAGUUUUAGUGCAUCAACCUGCACGUGUUUGUCUCUGCAGGUCUUCAGUACCUGGAACACUUGGGAGCAUCGCUGGGAUAUCUGCUGUUAGGGUUAUUCAGUGAUAUUCAGGGGAUGGAUGGAGCAUUUUCUAUUGAUGAGGACUCCUUGUUGAUAGCCCAGUGUAAGUGAUCAAUGAACGGCACGGUAUAGUUGUUGGUCGUCUGAGAACUGUCGAGGCCAAGAUCAAAACUAGCGGUGUAGCUUCAUGAAACAAGAUUCUUUACUUUCCAAUCAAGCUUCAUGACUUAUUUGCAACUGAAUACAAGACUGGCUUCAUGAUAAGCCAUUCUGAAGUGUCCAAUUAGUUAGUCAUACAACUUACUACCGUGGUCCUGUGGUAUCCAAAAUAUGUGCAGGUAUCGAAAGAGAAUUGCUGCUGGGAUAACAUGAAAGCAAAUUGGGCCAUUGUUCCACCGAUGCAAGAAAGGUUUGUUUGUAAAGCUUUUAAAGCACAAAUUGGAAAAUUUUCUCAAUGCAUUUGUUCUCGGUUUUCGCAUCUGGAAAUGGUUUUGAUUUACACAUUGUUUUUUGUAUAUAGUAUGAAAACUUAAAAUUUUUAUAUUCCUUAUAUUUCUUUUCUCUUUUUUGCCCUUUAAACUUUUCCUUCGUUUUUAAUUUUCUUUUGGCUUAGUUAUGUACACUUUGCCUGUAUUUUCUGAAGGUACAUUAUUAGGUCGUAGUGUCUGGCGUAUGGCUAUGAAGCCUACCAAGCCAAUAUUUUUCUGAUUUAAAAUUUCUUUUGGCAGCUAAGAUUCUGCCCAAUUUUGUUUUGUCGAACAAAAUGUUUGGGAAUCAGGAAACUAGCUACCACUGUUUGUUCAGAUCACCCAUGCUUGUGCCACACUGCAUGCAGAAACUACAUUUGUUCGUAGGAUGUGGGAAGACACCAGAUGAUCCGAGUAGGAUGGUCUUGCUUCUGAUUGUGUUCUUCACUGACCUUUUACGUUUUGCCUUGCAUCAUAAAAUUUCUUGUUUCUCUUCUUUUUCUAUAUCUCCCUAUGCUCAUUUUUCCUUUUGAGUUAGGGUCUGCUUUGGAUGACUAUUAUCCUUGGUAAAACUAUGAUCCUUGGUUAAAGAGAAAGAUGCAGAGGAUCAGCCAGUUCUCCUGAUGGUGCGUGCGUAUGAGCUGCUCAACAACCCCACUUGAUGGUAUUUCUUUUGCACUGACCCAAAACAUGUUUCUUGUCUGUUCUCUCUCUCUUUUUUUGUUGUGCAACGGGCUGCUAAGUGAAUGUCAAGGCAAGUAUAGAUCUUUCUUUUUAGUCUUAGGCCUAAAAAGCGAGUAUAGAUCCUGUACCAUAUAAAACUUCUGUUAGAAUUAGUUUUGGAA